rnacentral:lncRNA from 1 species
UUAAAUCAGUGCCCAUCUUUCUCCAAACAAUUUUCAAUGAAAGCUAAAAUAAUAAAAAAAAAAACGCUGCAGCCAUAUAAAACUAACGCUUCCUUUUUCUACUUAAAAUUAAAAACACCGCAUAUCCUUUUUCUAAAGCAAAGAUUUGAAUGAUGACUUUCUCUCCAAUGAAAAACGUGCAACAUUUUUUUCCAAGUAAAUUCAAAUCAGCACAUGUUUUAUCUAACAAAAGAAAUAAAAAAAAAUAAAAAUAAACAUGACCGUGACUGCUGCUUCUGAAAAAAGGAAAAUGAAAAUGAGACCAUGAAUUAAAUGUUCAAAAACAUAAAAGCUUCAAAUAACGUUCAACAUUAAAAGCUAAUGCAAGUGGCAGCUGGACAAAUUCCUUUUAGUAAAUGAAAAUAAAUUUAAAAUGUGUCUCAUUCCAUCCAAAUCAACGUUUCAAAGAAAGCUGAAAAAAAAAAGAAAGAACCAAGAAAGAGUGGCGGCAGUAGCAACUGGGAUUCUAUCCAACAAAUUAAGCACCGCUUGCUUCUAAUUCAAAGUGAAGGCAGCUCUCUCCAAAUGAUCAAUCACGUGUGUGUCGCAGUGCACCAAAAGGACCGUGACAGCUUAGAAGCAAAUGAAUUCAGCUAAUGUUUGCAGCGCUUGCAAGAAGAUUAGAAUGAAAUAAAAAUCAAAAUAUGCUUUCCAUUCAUCCAUAGUCACCAAGCAUCAACAUGUUUCCAAAAGAAAAUGUUGCAGCAGCCGGUCCCUAAAAAUAUGACAGC